GGGCUAUCAUACAGUCUCAAAGGCAACAUAACCAAUCUGGCGAAUUUCAAUGUGAAAAAACUGAAACACAAGCCUUUUAUUUGACUCUGUAACGUUUGAAAACACCAUAAAACCUGUACAUGAAGGGUACUGUUAUACUCAAGAGACUUCACUGAAAACAAAUAUUAGUGUUUCAAAACCGUAAAACAUAUCACAGCAAUGAUAUCGUCCGUGUAAGUGCUGUUUGUGUGUGAAAAAUGCAAAAAACUUCACUUUUACUGGCGAUAUCAUCAUUGUAAUACAUUUUACUGUUUUGAAACACUAAUAUUUGUGUUCAGCAAAGUCUUCUGAGUAAAACAGUACCCCCCAUGUUUUAUGGUGUCUUGGGAAGUUACAGGGUUAAAUAUAGUGCUAGCAAAUUAAAUUCCCUUUACUUUCGGCCUGGGUUGUCAGGCAGGUCCGGCAAAUUGUAAUUAAUAAAAUGACCUAAUUAUGUUAAAUUAUAU